GUGAGCCUGGUUUCAGGAUUUAAUUAAAUAUUGUUUUCAUUUACAUUGAAAAAUUUUUUGUGCAAUUCAAAAUGUUCUGAUUAUAUUUAUCUAAUUUUUUUUGGUUGUUUAUGAAUAUUUUUUUUUAGAAUUUUUUUUGUUAUGGGGGCUGAGUAAUUUAUUUUGAAUUGCUUUAUUUUAUUAUAGUAGAUUUUUAAUGUAAGUGGGGGUUUUAUAUUAGGUUAAAGAAUUUUUUUAUAUUUUACCUUUGGUAUCAGGGUUUAUUAAAUAGUUUAUUAUUAUUAGUUUCUCCCGAAUUAAUAGGAUUUAUUUUAAUAGGUUUAUUAAUGUUUCAAGAUUAUGUUAAAUAUUAAGAUGGUAGUGAGAUGCUUUUCGUUUAUUAAUAUAUCUGGUUUUCCAAGAUUAAAUUAAAUUUUAUAGGGAUUUUGAAUUUAGUUUUUUUUUAUUAAAUUUUUAAUUUUUUUUUAUUCUUUAGGGGUUAAGCUCUGGGGGUUUUUAUAAUUUUUAUUAUCGGAUUUUUUAUAGGCUUGAGAAUAGCCAUUGUUUUAAGUAUGUUGAAGUUUAUUUCUUUUUUUUCAGAUUUAUUAAUUAUUUAAGUUUUUUAUUGGAAUAAAGACUAUAAUUUUUGUUGUCAGUUGAUAAUGAUAUAAUUAGUAUAUUUUAUGUUUAUAAUAUUUUUUAUGUUAUUUUAAUUAAAGGAAUUCGGCAAUUUUUUAGUAUUUCCGACUGUUUAUCAAAAACAUUUUCUAAAGUCUUUAUUUUAGAUAGGGCCUGCUCACUGAGGAAUUAAAGAGCCGCGGUAUUUUGACUGUGCAAAGGUAGCAUAAUCAUUAGUGUAUUAAUUGUACACUGGAAUGAAAGGUUUCACGAGAAAAAUUCUGUCUCUAUUUAAUAGUUAGAAUUUUAUUUUUCAGUAAAAAAGCUGAAAUGUUUUUUUUGGACGAUAAGACCCUAUAGAGUUUUAUUUAAUGUUUAUAUGUAAUUAGGGAUUAUUUUAUUUGCUUUUAAAUUUUAAGUUUGGUUGGGGUGAUCUGAGUGAUGAUAAAACCACUCAUUUUAUAUUUCAUUGAUUUUUGUUUUUGUUGAUCUUGUAUUAUUGAUUAAAAGAUUUAAUUACCUUAGGGAUAACAGCGCAAUUAUUUUUGAGAGUUCGUAUUGACAAGGUAGAUUGCGACCUCGAUGUUGGAUUAAGAUUAUUUGUAGGCGUAGGUGCUUAUGAGAG
rnacentral:rRNA from 1 species